rnacentral:rRNA from 1 species
AUGACGAGGCACUACGGUGCUGAAGUAACAAAUGCCCUGCUUCCAGGAAAAGCCUCUAAGCAUCAGGUAACAUCAAAUCGUACCCCAAACCGACACAGGUGGUCAGGUAGAGAAUACCAAGGCGCUUGAGAGAACUCGGGUGAAGGAACUAGGCAAAAUGGUGCCGUAACUUCGGGAGAAGGCACGCUGGUGUGUAGGUGAAG